GGCUCCGUAGCCCAACUGGCAGAGGCGGUGGUCUCAGAAACCACACAGUGCUGGUUCGAAUCCAGCCGGAGUCA
rnacentral:tRNA from 1 species